rnacentral:lncRNA from 1 species
AAAAUAAAAAAAAUUUUAAAAAAAGAAACAAAAAAAAAAAAAAAAAAAAACCUAAAUGUUGGGGUCACAUCAAAAGGAUCAGGAGCCAGACUGCAGGGUAAAAUUGUCACAAUUUGUGCGUCUAAAAUAAUAGUGACGUUAAAAAUUACAAACAUAGCGAGUCAAUUAAAAUUCAUAAUUAUAGAAUGAUACUUGAAGAGAAAUCUAGAAAAAUAAACUAUUCAAAGUCAUUGGUAAAACACUUCUUUUCUUUCAAAUUGUAUUAAAAUAUGUUUAAGUAUGUAUUUUUCUUUCCUUUUGUUUCCACACUUUACAGUAACUGAACAAGGAUACUUUAUAUGGGAAAAGCUCCACUUUAAGAAAUAUUUCAGGAGAAUAUUGCUGAAUUUAUUGGUAGAAUUAGAAAGACAUUAUUGUUCUACAACUGUUAAUAAAAUUAACUUAUACCAUGAUUAUCAAUUGAAGUGAAAACAAUUACAUGUCUAGUGUCAAAGUAAUGCCACA